CUACGGGACGCAGCAGUGGGGAAUAUUGCACAAUGGGGGAAACCCUGAUGCAGCAACGCCGCGUGGAGGAUGACGCAUUUCGGUGUGUAAACUCCUUUUAUAUCCCAAGAUAAUGACGGUAGGAUAUGAAUAAGCACCGGCUAACUCCGUGCCAGCAGCCGCGGUAAUACGGAGGGUGCAAGCGUUACUCGGAAUCACUGGGCGUAAAGGGCGCGUAGGCGGGUUGUCAAGUCUUGAGUGAAAUCCAACGGCUCAACCGUUGAACUGCUUGAGAAACUGGCAGCCUAGAGUAAGGGAGAGGUAGAUGGAAUUGGUGGUGUAGGGGUAAAAUCCGUAGAGAUCACCAGGAAUACCCAUUGCGAAGGCGAUCUGCUGGAACUUUACUGACGCUGAGGCGCGAAAGCGUGGGGAGCAAACAGGAUUAGAUACCCUAGUAGUC
rnacentral:rRNA from 1 species